rnacentral:rRNA from 2 species
UACGUAGGUCCCGAGCGUUGUCCGGAUUUAUUGGGCGUAAAGCGAGCGCAGGUGGUUUAUUAAGUCUGGUGUAAAAGGCAGUGGCUCAACCAUUGUAUGCAUUGGAAACUGGUAGACUUGAGUGCAGGAGAGGAGAGUGGAAUUCCAUGUGUAGCGGCGAAAUGCGUAGAUAUAUGGAGGAACACCGGUGGCGAAAGCGGCUCUCUGGCCUGUAACUGACACUGAGGCUCGAAAGCGUGGGGAGCAAACAGG